GGGUAGCAAGCCAAGUCGUGAGGAAGAGAAAGCCCAGGCAGAGCGAACAACAAAUGUUAACGUUGGAGGCCCUGUGCAGCACUGGUGUCUCCCUCCCUCUCAUGAUUUUAAUGAGGCCUCACUCCAGCCAAGUGCCUGGAGACUCCGUGAGCAGGAAUGAGCUAUCCUCCUAGAUCCUGGAGACAUGAGGUCCCGCCCACAGGCAGCACUGACCUCCAAACACGUAAGUGAAUCCAUCUGCAACCAUCCUGACUGCGGCCACACCAGGGGUCCUAGGUCAGAGCCCAGUCCAAAUCACUGACGCCCAGUCCUGGGCGUCAGUGAAACGGUUCUUGUUUGAAGCCGCUGCGUUUGUUACACAUCAACGGAUAAUACCUGAUAAUACCAGCUUUUAAUUUCUGAAUCAACAUGUGGAACCGAGAGGUGUUUUGGGUGCCCAGUGACGCGUGGGGGUGGAGGCAGGACACAGGAUUCUCGGCUCUAGGAGCUGAUGGCCUCGUUGAGUCACGGGGAAAAUGAAGUCUCACACCGGAGUCAGAUCCCUCGCUGACAGCUCAAACCCAUCCUCCCUUCAUCAUGGGGAUCGCAUCGGGGCUCAGCAGCACGUGGCUACCCAGCUGCGCCUUGUUUCCUAGCCUCCUCUGCAUCAGGAUUUGUCACAUGACCGGGCUGUCUCCAAUGGGAUGUGGGAGGGAGUGGUGGAGGCCACGCGCGGGCCAGAGCCUGUAAGGACAGUGGGGCUGUUUUUCCUCCCUACGGGAAUAAAAGGAGCCAGUCUCUGCUUUUCGGUGACGAGAGCCGCUCACCA